UGCCAAGUUGGUUAUAAUUUACCACAGC
rnacentral:piRNA from 1 species